UUUUUUUUUUUUUUUUUUUUUGCUUUUUAGGGCUAUACCCACAGCACAUGGAAGAUCCCAGCCUAGGGGUAGAAUCAGAGCUCUAGCAGCCGGCCUACACCACAGCCACAGAAACACCAGAUCCAAGUCAUGUCUGUGACCUACACUACAGUUCACAGCAACACUGGAUCCUUAGCCCACUAAGUGGGACCAGGGAUUGAACCCGUAGCCUCAUGGACACUAAUCCGGCUCAUUUACAAUGAGCCACAACAGGAACUCCUAAUUCCACACUUUUAAAGCUAAAGGCAUUGAGAGGGGGGGGUCUCUCUUCCCCUCUCUGCUGCUACCCAAGGUGUCAUGGAAUUUCUUUUUUCCAUCUCAGAGGUGGCAGAAUGGAGAACAGAACAGACUUGGGGCCCAAGCCUCCUGAGACUGACUGGGUUGCCCGGGGAGUCACUCAUGUCCACCUCAGUUGCCCAGCCCUGCUCCCCUCCAAAGGGAGGUCAGGCUCCAGUACGCCUCAGCUUCAGAACAAGGCCUGCAUUCGAGCAGAAGGGGCCAAUGUAAGAAGAAAGUUAAGACCAAAUGGGAUACAGCAUGUCUGAUACCCGGAGGCAAGGAGGAACUGAUUCCCCGAGACUUCAAUUCUUGUCUAGUUCAAUUCUAAACAUCACGAACAACUUCCUGAGCAAAGAUCACUUCUGCUUUUAUGAUGUUUGUGGACUGGGGGGCAGGUGGUGAUGUAAGGACCCUUAUCAGACAAAUUGAUAUUAUUUCAUUAGUUUCAAUGAUCAAAUUUUAUUAGUGCUAUUCCUAGUACUCCUUGACACUUUAAUCUUUCUAUUUUGGUGACCAAAAGGCAAAGGUGAUCUCACGGCGCCAAAGUUGUCCCCCUGGGGAAAAGAGGGAGCCUUUCCUAUAAUUUGUUUCCCACAAAUUAACACUGAGAUGCCUAUGUGUAAAGAAGGCAUUGGAGGGGAAAUACACAGGUAAGCAGAGCUCCUUCAUUCCACAGUUUCUAAAUGAGACGUUCCCAUCAUGGCUCAGAGGAAAUGAAUGUGACUAGUACCCGUGAGGACACAGGUUCGAUCCAUGACCCCGUUCAGUUGGUUAAGAAUCCCAUGUUGCUGGGAGUUCCCGUCAUGGCGCAGCGGAAACCAAUCCAACUAGGAACCAUGAGGUUGCGGGUUCGAUCCUUGGCUUAGUGGGUUAAGGAUCCGGUGUUGCUGUGAACUGUGGUGUAGGUCACACCACGUGGAUCUGGCGUGGCUGUGGUUGUGGCUGUGGUGUAGGCCGGCAGCUGUAGCUCUGAUUUGACCCCUAGCCUGAGAACCUCCCUGUGCCGCAGGUGCAGCCCUAAAAAGACACACACACCCAAAAAGUUUCUAAUUGAGUGAAGGGAGAGGGACUUAGGAACAAAUGACUAAAAUUAAAGGUCGAAUAAAUGUUUGGAAAUGAUAAAAUACAGGGUAAUAAGAGCUACAGGUACUCUGUCAGGAGUGAGUAAUCUGAAUGGGGGUCUUUAGGAGAGCUUCCAGGUCUUCACAGAAAGAGUGAUAUUUGGGAAGCUAUAGAGCUUUCUUUCAGUCAUGAAGGGCUCAGCUGUCAGAGUCAUUCAACCUGGGUUCAAAUCCCUACUCUGCCAAUUCCUACCUGGGUCAUUUAGGGCAAGUUAUUUAAACCUCUAAGCUCAGUUUACUGGAUGAUACAAUGGGGACAAUGAGAGUAUAGAUAUUACGGGUUUGCAGGAAGGAUUAAAAGAAAUAAUGAAUGUAAAUAACACAGUGUCUGAGACAUAAUCCCUCAGCUAAGAUUCCCUAUUAUUAUGAUUAUGAUUAUCCAUCCCCAGAUCCGAGGAAGUAAGUGAUAUUAUGAUCUCCACUUUCAGUACUGAAAAAAACAGACACAAGACAAAUUAGGUAACCUGCCCAAUAUCACAUGGUAGAGGGAGGAUCCAGGACAUAAAUUUGGGUCAGUCUGACUCCAAAGUCCUAGUUCUUUCUUACCCACUCUAUUUUAUCCUGAUCUAUAACAUACUGUGGCUCCUUCCAGAAAGAAGGUCCCGGAAACUAGAGCCUCAGAAUCACCUGAAAAUAAAGCACAAUUCUAGGAGCUCAUGCUUUGUCUCUGGGGAGACAAAGCCAAAUGAAAAUACUGGGAGCAGAUCAAUCAGCUAGAAGGUCGGUAUAGCUGUCUGGGUGAGAGACAGUAAGGACUGAUGUAGGACUGUGGCUGAUGGGGAGGAGAAAUGAUACAGGAUAUAGUUGGGGUGCAUCUGUUUAUCUUUGUUUUCCCUCACUGGGCACCAAGGCUGGCAUAAAGUGUUCAAUAAAUAUUUACUCUUAGAAUAAAGGCAUAUUGGUUAAAGAUCAGAUGGGGAAGCCUGGGAGGCUUUAAUAAAAGAGUCUGAGACAAAGAGGAGGUUUCUGGAUGGAGCAGAUCAAAGAAAGAAGGAAUACAGGACAAAGAUUUGAUGUGCACAGGGCGAUUGAGGAGGGCAGCCUUGAAUGCGCAGAGUUUGAGGAUCUUGUUAAACACAGAUGUAGAGAUGCUUGAGGGCAGUUAUACGUACAGAUCUGAAAUCCCCAGAAUCAAUCUGGGUGGAAAAUACAGGUUUUAGGAGCUCCCACUGUGGCACAAUGGGAUUGUCAAUGUCUUGGGAGUGCUGGGAUGCAGGUUCGAUCCCUGGCCCGGGCACAGUGGGUUAAGGAUCUGGCAUUGCUGCAGCUGCAGCUUAGGUCACAGCUGCAGUUUGGAUCUGAUCCUUGGCCCAGGAGCUCCAUAGGCCACGGGGCAGCCAAAAAUGGCAAAAAAAAAAAAAAAGGAAAGGAAAUAUUGGUUUUCAAUUUACCACUAUUCAAUAAAUAUUUACUGGCUAUUUGCCUUGGUUCCUUGGUUCAGGCAUUGUGCUGUUCAAGUGGGAUGCAGAGGAUGGCAAGAAAGAUAAGACCCCUGUCCUCAGUGGGAUUACAAGCAGAUAUAUUUGUGAGCCAUGAGUACUGAGGUGAUAAAUGAAGUCAUGGGAAAAGGUGGGGAAUAUUUUAGUGAUGAGUCAAGAGAGAGGCACCAUUGAAGUUAACUUUUAACCCCACCAAGGAGCUAUGAAGCAA
rnacentral:lncRNA from 1 species